rnacentral:lncRNA from 1 species
GUCCGAGUCCUCUGGGAGUGUCUGAAGUUGCAGGGAAAACCGCCAAGCCUUGCGUGGAGCCACCACCAUCACUUGCCCCUUUUCUGUCUUUGUGCUGCCAUCUAGAGAGGAAAGGAAAACAUGUGGUGUGUCCUGGUGAGGAGAAACAGUCACCUGAAACCCCAAGCACCAUCUGCAGCUCCUAGAACAGAACGCAGGGCUGGCGGGUUUAGUCCUGAGGGCAGCUGAGCAUUUUCGCUUCUAAGAGAUGACCUCAGACACAGGAAGGGGUUCCCAUCGUGGCCAGCCUCCGAGAUCUCAUUCUAGGGUUCAUAGCAGGCUCCUCGAGAGCACACCAAGAAGUAUGUUUUUCUUUGAAUGUUCAAAGGGAGUGAAAUAUAAUGUUGGGGUGGCCCAAACUUACAGGAUGGGCACCAUCUUAUAGGAAAAAAAAUAAAAUACAAGAAAUGCACGAAAGUAACGUUCUGAGAUGAGUAAUUCUUAAACCAUUUUUCUUUUUUUUUUUUUUUUGUAGAGGCAGUUCCUUUUAUAAAAAGCAGGAAGCCUUGUGUAGACUCCAAUGUAUAAAAAAUAGAUAAGCAUAUACUUGUUGCUGAUAGAAGUAGUAGCACCUAAUGUCCCUGUGAAGAAUGUACUGAACAAGUUUAAUUACUACAAGUUGAUUUUUUAUUGAGUGCAAAGUUAAAAAUAACGUAUUCUGGAGCUAUAUGUUACAAAAAAAAACAUGUACAUGGAAAUCAAACUUCUAUGCCAGAAUGUGGAUGAGAAGGAAGCAAGGCCUUCCCUGACCACCCACUCCCCAGAAUUCAGUGCCCUGCCUGGUCAGCUUUUUCCAUAGGCCCUGGCACUAUCUGAGAUAUCAUCUGUCUACUCGCUCUAGAAUGGAAAUUCUUGAGGGCAGGUUAUUUUUGCCUGCCAUGUUGAUAUCCGCAUUUCCUCUAUCUACAACAUGUCUAGCACACAGCAGGUGCUCAGUACAUGCUCUUAAAGGAACAAAUAAAUCUAAGUUGAUUCCUUAGCUUCUUUUGCUUGUUUAUGCAAGAACAACAUGUCUAACUUUAAUUUUACAAGUAUUCUGAUUUCAAACACGUGUAAAGUAACAAUUAUUUUAAAGUCCAUGAAGAAGCUCUGAUUUCUCUGUAAAUUUCAUUUGGUGCCGUCCCCCAUUUCAAAUAGUCUUGAUUAGCCUGAGACCAUCAAAAUAACAUUUAUUAAUGAAAGUACAGUAAAUGCUAAAACACUGACAGCUGAAUUAAAGAUUUGACAUGCAAAUGUACCAGCUAAGUAGAAGCUUUACUUAAAUUCUGGCUUGCCAUCGUUGAGGAUAAAUUGACCUGCAGAAUUCAUUAUGAAUAAAGCAAGAAGAUGCAGCAGAAUAAAUGUGAUUUUUUUCCUUUCUUAAAAUAAAAUUUGCAAUUAAAACAGAUUAUUUAAGGCUAAAUGGUCAUAUAAUGGUAUGAAUAGGAACCUUGGGUAAACAAAAGGAACGAGGCUUAGGCUUGGCAUCUGGGCUUGGCCACCUACUGUCUGUAUGACCUCACACAGACCAUCAAUAAAAUAAGGAUACCACCUCUUUCUGGUCUACCUUGGAGGGUUGUUGUAAAGAUUAAUUUAUUUUAUUUUACUUUUUUAAGAGACAGGGUCUUGCUCUGUCACCCAAGCUGAAGUGGAGUGUUAUAAUCAUAGUCCACUGUAACCUUGAAUUCCUAGCCUCAAGCAAUUCUCCCUCCUCAGCCUCCCAAGUAGCUAGAAUUACAGGUGUGUGCCACCACACCUGGCUAAUUUUUUAUUUUUUUUUUUGUAGAAACAGUCUUGCUAUGUUGUCCAGGCUGGACUUAAACUUCUGGCCUCAGCUUCCCAAAGUACUGGGAUUACAGAAGUGAGUGACUGUGCCCAGCUAAGGUCAAUUUAAAUACUGAUAAGUGAUUGCUGUGAGAACUGUAAAAAUACUAUGAAACACAGGGACGAACCCUUUUGGUCAGUCUAAUGGCUCUGAGGAAUAUAUAAACCUCAGGACUGUGUAAUCUCCAAGUGUAUACCAAGGUGUAAAAAUCAAAUCAUAUCUUCUGAUUAUUCAGAUGAGGACAAAGCUCAUAAACAUUUUCUAAGUACACUUGGAAAACACCCUCCCACUUGCUUCUCUAGACCUGGAGCUCUUUGUCUUCCAAGAGAUCUGACUAUGACAUAGCUAACUCCCAAGAUUGCCAAAUUUUGGAUUCGUCCUAGAGAAAGGGGUGUUUGGGAGAAAAUAUGUAAUACAAGGCAGCUAGUCAAGUUAGAUCAGCUUUAAGAACAGAGAAAGUCAACUCCUAAACUAUGUGAAAAGGUUGUCUUUCAUAUCUGGUAAAGAGGUGAUGUUCUAGGAUGUAACAGAGUCAAAGUUAGAGCCACUGGGGAAAGGGAAUUUGAUGUGGUAGAGUCUGGAUGUGAGAGGUCCUGAAUUCAAGUUCUGGCUCAGUUACUCAUUAGCUGUGUGAUGUUGGGGAAAUGAGCUGACCUUCCCUUGUUCAACUGCAAAACAAGAGAAAUAAUACCCUUUGUGCCAUAUGGCUCCUGGAAAGAUUAAACACAUAAAUUCAUGUCAAAGUUGCUUUAAAAAUCACAAUGCGCUUUGCCAGUCUUUGUUAUUACUUUCCAACAAUUGUGUUCUUUGUAUUUCUUUCUAUGGCAAAGUGAAAUAAUCUUUGAAAAAUGAAGAAAAGAAAUAUACAUAUACACAUAUCAUGGGCACCCCAAAACCCAGUAUGAGCAUUUUGUUGUAUUUUCUUCCAGACUUUCUUCCAGCAAAACACAUGAGCUGGUUCAUCUAAAGAGUUUAGGGGAGUGCCUAGUGCAUGGUAAGCACUGCAUGAAAGAUAACUCUAAAAGCACUUUCCUCCCAGGUGUAAAGGAGACAUGGCUCCCCAAGCACCAGCGGCUGGAGGGAAAGACAUAAAAAAUCUUGAUGAUAUAGUCCCAUUUCAUGCUGAGAAGUGACUGGGGGCCAGAGAUGCCAAUGACUUCCUCCAUGGCUCACAGAAUUAAGGCGGAACUGAGACUACAACCAGGAACAAUCCUGCCAUGUUGUAUUAAUUAGUCUGUUUAGUACUGAAACAUGGUUGAUGUGAAGUCCUUUUUUCACUUUAUUUAUAUUUUUAAAGAUUAAGAUAUUUGUUCACUGUUGUCAGAAGUUUGCAUACAAUAUAAACAACACUGUACAUUUAGUAAGAAAACAGGUACACUUUAGGUUCUCACUUAGAGCUUGCCUUUGUGUCUUGCUAAGGCCCCAAAUAAGAGAAAUAUGAUUUUGGGAAUGGACAGCAGCACAAUAUGAAACAGAUUCGAACAAACAAAAGACAAUUCCACUUGACAUCCAAUUUAAGCCUUACAGAGGAGAGUCUCUUUGGCAGUGCAGAACCGAGAAGCACAAACCUUGAAAGAUGACAGGGUCUGAGACUACAAGGUAAAUUUAAAUUGAAGAUAAACUAGAAAUAAAAAAGAAUGUUGGCAACCUGUGAUCAGUUUCAGAAAAAAAAAAAUAUAUGGCUUGAUGAAAAAGAUGGAGGCUUUUGUCUAUGUACCCAAGUGGUUUUGCAGUUUGUGGAAAUGUUGUGAAGCUUUCCCAAACUUGGCACAUUAAUCAAAGAGAAAAAUGAUGUAAGUAAGAGAAGCAAAGGGCCAAAGGAUUCAAGUAGGCUAGCGUAUCCUAAUGUUUAGUACAAGAGUCUAAAAAGGCUCUAGUCUGAAAUUCCUUAAAGAAUUCUAAAGGACAGGCUAUGUAGAUUUAAGUCUGUAUCUGUGCCAUAUGUGGGUAUGCAUUUAUGUUUGUGUGUACUUAUGUGUAUAUAUGUGUGUUUAUGUGUGUUAUGUGUGUAUAUGAACAUUUUAUGUAUAACUAUAAACCCACAUGGAUUUAUUCCUAAUAUUAUUCCCCAAAAUGGCACCUGGUAUGUGUAAUACCUUUUGUUUUUCACUUUUCAAUUAUUAUUCAGCUCAGUUAUGUUGUACAUUGCCAGUGAGAUCUUCAACUUGGCAUCAAAGGUAAAGUGAAACAGGCAAGAAAACAAAAUUGCCAGUUUACCAAAUUCCCAAAUAAUUUGUAGCUAAAUCAUAAUAUGAGCUCCUAUUCAAGCCUCUGUGAAUACAAAGAGUUUAUAAAAACCACAUAUAUUCUCAAACUGCAAUAAUUUAGGUUGCGGGCUUAAUAUAAAUAAUCUCUAAAUGCUACGUAAAAUGACUCCAGUAAGUGCAGUUCAAUCAACUGACAGAAGAAAAUUCACAGCCCUUUAUCCAGAGAGAUUAAAGACUGUAUCUAUUUCAUUUAUUACCAGCAACAUUAACACACAAAUUUAAGGCCCAUACAAGUUUAUGAGUGAGUUUAUGAAUAAGUCCUUGGACUUCAAAUACUAAUGCAUCACAGAAAACUCAUUCUCAGAACGACUCUUGAAGUUCAAGGUUUAGCCACAAGGCUGUCAAGGACUCCAACACUGUAUUGCUGAACACCUGUCUGGGGUGUCCAGGAUGGAUUGAUGGAUUGGUUGGUUGGUUAAUUCUCUCAUGCAACAAACAUCUGUUGAAGGUCUACUGUAUGCAACCCCAAGUUAGGUGCUGUGUAUGUACAGUCAUGUGUUGCUUAAUGAUGGGAUAUGUUAUGGGAAAAGUGUUGCUAAGCAAUUUCGUUGUUGUGUGAACAUCACAGAGUGUACUUAUACAACUUAUACAGACCUAUGGUGUAGUCUGCUACACACCUUGGCUAUAUGGUACAGCCUACUGCUCCUGGGGUACAAACCUGUAUAGCAUGUUAGUGUACUGAAUACUGUAGGCAACUGUAAAACAAUAGUAAGUACUUGUAUAUCUAAACUUAUUUAAACAUAUAAAAGGUAAUGCAAUGUGCUACAACCUUACGUUAUGAUGGCUACAACUCACUAGGUGAUAGGAAUUUUUCAGCUCUGUGUUAUAGUCUCAUGGGACCACCAUCGCAUAUGCAGUCUGCCAUCAAUCAAACCAUUGCUGUGCGGGGCAUGACUAUAUGUGAAGCAGUCAGGCAAGGUCCUAUGCAGGGAGUAAGGCAGGAAAAUGGUAUGGAGAGUACUGAGUAGGAGCUGGGUGGGGGUAGGGGAGGAAGGUCAAGGAUUGGGUCUCUGGAAAAGUGAUUAAGAUAAGUGAUAAUAACAAGAUGGAGCCAGUCCUGUGAAGAUUCAGAAAAAGGCACAUAGAGACAAACCAGUCAUACAAAGGCACCAGUGUGGAAACAGCUUGGCAUAUUCAAGGACCCAAAAGAAACCCAGAAAACAGCUUAGGCACUUUAAAGGUAGAUAAAGAUCUCGACUUUGCUGGAAAAAACAAUCAAGUCUCAAUUAGUGAGAAUAUUGCUGAGAUUAUUCAACCUGUCUGACUAUCAUGUACUCAUCCUUUACCAAUUGCAUACUGUGUGCUCGGCACCGUGCAAGACACAAGCUUGAAUGGUACAGAGUUCCUAUUGUGAAGAAGCUAACUUUCAACAGGGAUAAUAAUGCAAGUGUUUAAGCAGCUCCUCCUCUCAUCUUUUGAGCUUUGGGUGGGUGUCACUAUUCUGGCUCGUAUGGCACUCUAUGAUUAUAAUUUUUGUAGGGAUUAAAUGAGUUAUUAUAUGUAAAGUGCUUAGAUCAAUGCCAAGCACAUAAAUGCUAUACAGUGUUUGUCAGUAUUAUUAGUUAGUAGUAUAGUGAAAUGAUCGUAAAAGAAAUAGGAUAUUAACAUAGUUUCAAAGUAUCUCAAAAAUUAAGGGGCAUUUAUAAAAAAACUGGCUACUACUCUCAAAAGUGUCAAGGUCAUUGAAAGACAAAGGAAUAUUGAGGGACUCUUUUUUUUAUUUUGAGAUGGAGUUUCCUCUUACUGCCCAGACUGGAGUGCAGUGGUGUGAUCUCGGCUCACUGCA